rnacentral:rRNA from 1 species
UACGUAGGGUGCGAGCGUUAAUCGGAAUUACUGGGCGUAAAGCGUGCGCAGGCGGCUUUGCAAGACAGAUGUGAAAUCCCCGGGCUCAACCUGGGAACUGCCUUUGUGACUGCAAGGCUGGAGUACGGCAGAGGGGGAUGGAAUUCCGCGUGUAGCAGUGAAAUGCGUAGAUAUGCGGAGGAACACCGAUGGCGAAGGCAAUCCCCUGGGCCUGUACUGACGCUCAUGCACGAAAGCGUGGGGAGCAAACAGG